rnacentral:lncRNA from 1 species
UUAAUCAUGUAGCACUCCUACACGUCAUAAAAGCAUCCCAUCAAAUGGAAAGAGAGAGCCUUUAAACCCUUCUUACUCCUAUGACCGGACGGUCUGGUUAUCAACCCAAUUCAAGUACUUGCUAAUCGAAUCUUCUAAUCUAAUUAUAUAUCAUAUAUGUAUGAAUGUAGAUCUAAUCUAAAUUAUAUCAGAUUUGAUUAUAACUUUAGAUCACAUCUAAAU